GCCGGGGUGGUGAAAUUGGUAGACACGCUUGACUUAGGAUCAAGUGCCGCAAGGUGUGCAGGUUCGAGUCCUGUCUCCGGUA
rnacentral:tRNA from 1 species